GAUUAACGCUGCGGCAGGCCUACACAUCAAGUCGACGGCAGCACGGGAAGCUGCUCCCUGGUGGCGACGGCGGACGGGUGAGUAAUGCAUAGGAAUCUGCCCGGUAGUGGGGGAUAACGUGGGGAAACCCACGCUAAUACCGCAUACGUCCUACGGGAGAAAGCAGGGGAUCUUCGGACCUUGCGCUAUCGGAUGAGCCUAUGUCGGAUUAGCUAGUUGGUAAGGUAACGGCUUACCAAGGCAACGAUCCGUAGCUGGUCUGAGAGGAUGAUCAGCCACACUGGGACUGAGACACGGCCCAGACUCCUACGGGAGGCAGCAGUGGGGAAUAUUGGACAAUGGGCGAAAGCCUGAUCCAGCCAUGCCGCGUGUGUGAAGAAGGCUUUCGGGUUGUAAAGCACUUUCAGCGAGGAAGAAAGCCUCUGGGCCAAUACCCCAGAGGAAGGACAUCACUCGCAGAAGAAGCACCGGCUAACUCCGUGCCAGCAGCCGCGGUAAUACGGAGGGUGCGAGCGUUAAUCGGGAAUUACUGGGCGUAAAGCGCGCGUAGGUGGCUUGGCACGCCGGUUGUGAAAGCCCCGGGCUCAACCUGGGAACUGCAUCCGGAACGGCCAGGCUAGAGUGCAGGAGAGGAAGGUAGAAUUCCCGGUGUAGCGGUGAAAUGCGUAGAGAUCGGGAGGAAUACCAGUGGCGAAGGCGGCCUUCUGGCCUGACACUUGACACUGAGGUGCGAAAGCGUGGGUAGCAAACAGGAUUAGAUACCCUGGUAGUCCACGCCGUAAACGAUGUCGACUAGCCGUUGGGACCUUUAAGGACUUAGUGGCGCAGUUAACGCGAUAAGUCGACCGCCUGGGGAGUACGGCCGCAAGGUUAAAACUCAAAUGAAUUGACGGGGGCCCGCACAAGCGGUGGAGCAUGUGGUUUAAUUCGAUGCAACGCGAAGAACCUUACCUACCCUUGACAUCCAGAGAAGUUGGCAGAGAUGCCUUCGUGCCUUCGGGAGCUCUGAGACAGGUGCUGCAUGGCUGUCGUCAGCUCGUGUUGUGAAAUGUUGGGUUAAGUCCCGUAACGAGCGCAACCCUUGUCCUUAUUUGCCAGCGAGUAAUGUCGGGAACUCUAAGGAGACUGCCGGUGACAAACCGGAGGAAGGUGGGGACGACGUCAAGUCAUCAUGGCCCUUACGGGUAGGGCUACACACGUGCUACAAUGGCCGGUACAAAGGGUUGCAAGACCGCGAGGUGGAGCGAAUCCCAGAAAGCCGGCCUCAGUCCGGAUCGGAGUCUGCAACUCGACUCCGUGAAGUCGGAAUCGCUAGUAAUCGUGAAUCAGAAUGUCACGGUGAAUACGUUCCCGGGCCUUGUACACACCGCCCGUCACACCAUGGGAGUGGACUGCACCAGAAGUGGUUAGCUUAACCUUCGGGAGAGCGAUCACCACGGUGUGGUUCAUGACUGGGGUGAAGUCGUAACAAGGUAGCCGUAGGGGAACCUGCGGCUGGAU
rnacentral:rRNA from 1 species